CAGGGAGACAAAACUGAUUUUGAUGUCUGAGUUAAUUUGAACUUAGGCCAAGAUCCUGUCACCUUAGGUCGAUCGGUACCUCAAGUUUUCCAAAGUAGAUUGAGAAUUCAGUUUAAUUAAUUGGUAAAAACUUUAGUUCCUAAACUUUGUCUAGGUCACACCCAACAAGGGUACUCCUGGGCUAUUAGCUCAGGUGGUUAGAGCGCACCCCUGAUAAGGGUGAGGUCCCUGGUUCAAGUCCAGGAUGGCCCAUUCGGUGUUGGGGGUAUAGCUCAGUUGGUAGAGCGCCUGCUAUGCAAGCAGGAUGUCAGCGGUUCGAGUCCGCUUACCUCCACUGAUCUACCUCCUGAUAGCGAAGACACAGGAGAAUUUUUGUUGGUUUUGAUUUAGACUUUCUAUCUUGAAUGAUCCUAGCUUCUUAUCAUUCCUUUUCUAAAAGAAUUUUUAGAUAUGGUUGAUAUGAUGCUGGGCUCUCUGCAAAUAUUAAAUUUGCAGAUAAGUUCAGUAGAACCUUGACAACUGCAUAUGUGAGUCUGGAAAAGAAUAAAGCAUCUCAUAGAUGAAUUAUUCUUUUAAACAAAUACAUUUUUUCUGUUAAUCAGAUUAAUAGUAUUUAAUUUAAAGAUUAAUUAAUUCUUGAGCAAGAGCCGAGACUCUAUAUAGUCGGUUCUAUUUAGAAAUGAAUAGAAAAUUAGUUUACUAAUUAACGCUAUAUAGAGAUAUAUAU
rnacentral:tRNA from 1 species